rnacentral:rRNA from 1 species
UAGCGUAUAUUAAAGUUGUUGCAGUUAAAAAGCUCGUAGUUGAAGUUCUGGCUGCUCGGGUCCUCAGCCUAAGGCGGGGAUACCGACAGUCAUCCGCUUGCAAGCAUAUGUUCGGCCUUAAACAGCUGGCUAUGUGAGUAAGCAAUUUACCUUGAGAAAAACAGAGUGUUCCAGGCAGGUUUGUCCGGGAUGCAUUAGCAUGGAAUAAUAGAACAUGACUGAAGUCUAUUGAUUGGUUUAAGGCUUUAGUAAUGAUUAAUAGGAACAGUCGGGGGCAUUCGUACUCAGCAGUC